UACGUAGGCAGCAAGCGUUGUUCGGAGUUACUGGGCGUAAAGGGUGCGUAGGCGGCCUUAUAAGUAUGGUGUGAAAUCUCCCGGCUUAACUGGGAGGGUGCGCUAUAGACUGUGGGGCUAGAGUGUGGGAGAGGAAAGUGGAAUUCCUGGUGUAGCGGUGAAAUGCGUAGAUAUCAGGAGGAACACCGGUGGUGAAAACGGCUUUCUGGACCAUAACUGACGCUGAGGCACGAAAGCGUGGGUAGCAAACAGG
rnacentral:rRNA from 1 species